rnacentral:rRNA from 1 species
AACGAACGCUGGCGGCAUGCCUAACACAUGCAAGUCGAACGAGACCUUCGGGUCUAGUGGCGCACGUGUGCGUAACGCGUUGGAACCUGCCCUUAGGUUCGGAAUAACUCCCCGAAAUGGGUGCUAAUACCUGAUAAUGUCUUCGGACCAAAGAUUGAUCGCCUUUGGAUGGGCGCGCGUUGGAUUAGCUAGUUGGUAGGGUUAAAGCCUACCCAGGCGACGAUCCAUAGCUGGUCUGAGAGGAUGAUCAGCCACACUGGGACUGAGACCCGGCCCAGAAUCCUACGGGAGGCAGCAGUGGAGAAUAUUGGACAAGGGGGGAAAACCUGAUCCAGCAAUGCCGCGUAAGUGAUGAAGGCCUUAGGGUUGUAAAGCUCUUUUACACGGGAUGAUAAUGACAGUACCGGGAGAAUAAGCUCCGGCUAACUCCGUG